GCUUCAGAAAACGCAAAAAAAGAAUUUCAAAAAGGAGAAGAAGAAGAAGAAGAAGGAGGCUGGAACCAAAUCUUGAAAAAUCUUAAAUACGCACUGGUUCUUACGGAAAUAGCAGUUGACGCGGGCGAGGAUUUCGUUAAUUAGAACGCACAGGUUGAUUGUUCUUGAUGGCUAGGACACGCACACCCUCAUCUGCUGGACGUGGUGCUACCCGGGGUGGCGGUCAAGUUGGCAUUCAUCAAACUAGAAGACAAGUUACUCCUCAACCUGAAGUUAGGAACAUGGGUCAACCCCAAGCUGUUAUGCCAGAUCAAGUGCAAGGGAAGGGAGUUUAGGACGCUCCACUACCAGUGCCAACUGUUGUACCUACUGUUGCCUUACCUGCAGAUGUAGUGACAAAGUUAUUGAAUGUGUUAGAGGAAUUAGUGCCUACUCAGGGUGUAAGUUCAUCUCCUCAGGCUACUUUACAAACACAAGCACCUGCACAGACUCACACUUUCGGGAAUAAGGUGGUAUCCCUGCAAGAGUUCCUAAAAUUAAAAUCACCAAAAUUCACAAGUUCCGAUAAUUCAGCAGAUCCUCAAAGUUUCUUGGAUGGGACACUCAAGGCAUUACAUGCUCUUGGAUGUUCUAGUGAGAGAGCCGUGGAGCUCGCAACAUACAAACUAGAGGAUAUGGCCAACACAUGGUAUGAAACGGUAUUGCUAGGAAGGCCAGCAGGAGCAGCACCACUGACAUGGGAAAAGUUCAGUAAGUUGUUCAUGGAUCAU